rnacentral:rRNA from 1 species
UACGGGGGGGGCAAGCGUUGUUCGGAAUUACUGGGCGUAAAGGGCUCGUAGGCGGCCAACUAAGUCAGACGUGAAAUCCCCAGGCUCAACCUGGGAACUGCGUCUGAUACUGGAUGGCUUGAAUUCGGGAGAGGGUUGCAGAAUUCCAGGUGUAGCGGUGAAAUGCGUAGAUAUCUGGAGGAAUACCGGUGGCGAAGGCGGCAUCCUGGACCGGCAUUGACGCUGAGUGAGCGAAAGCCAGGGGAGCAAACGGG